UGGCCGCGCCGCGUUCCAGUUGCGAGGGUUUUACUACUACGCAAUGGAGGCUGCAGCGAGACCGCCACUAGAUUUCGGGGCCGGCUUGCCAGAAAGGCUCGCCGAUCCCCAACACCAAACCCGAGGGCUUGAGGGUUGAAAUGACGCUCGAACAGGCAUGCCCGCCAGAAUACUGGCGGGCGCAAUGUGCGUUCAAAGAUUCGAUGAUUCACUGAAUUCUGCAAUUCACAUUACUUAUCGCAUUUUGCUGCGUUCUUCAUCGAUGCCAGUGCUUGCCU
rnacentral:misc_RNA from 1 species